CUGCACCGACCUGCUCUCCCAG
rnacentral:miRNA from 1 species